UGUGAGCUCGAUGAGUAGGGCGGGACACGUGGUAUCCUGUCUGAAUAUGGGGGGACCAUCCUCCAAGGCUAAAUACUCCUGACUGACCGAUAGUGAACCAGUACCGUGAGGGAAAGGCGAAAAGAACCCCGGCGAGGGGAGUGAAAAAGAACCUGAAACCGUGUACGUACAAGCAGUGGGAGCCUCUUUUAUGGGGUGACUGCGUACCUUUUGUAUAAUGGGUCAGCGACUUAUAUUCUGUAGCAAGGUUAACCGAAUAGGGGAGCCGAAGGGAAACCGAGUCUUAACUGGGCGUUAAGUUGCAGGGUAUAGACCCGAAACCCGGUGAUCUAGCCAUGGGCAGGUUGAAGGUUGGGUAACACUAACUGGAGGACCGAACCGACUAAUGUUGAAAAAUUAGCGGAUGACUUGUGGCUGGGGGUGAAAGGCCAAUCAAACCGGGAGAUAGCUGGUUCUCCCCGAAAGCUAUUUAGGUAGCGCCUCGUGAACUCAUCUCCGGGGGUAGAGCACUGUUUCGGCAAGGGGGUCAUCCCGACUUACCAACCCGAUGCAAACUGCGAAUACCGGAGAAUGUUAUCACGGGAGACACACGGCGGGUGCUAACGUCCGUCGUGAAGAGGGAAACAACCCAGACCGCCAGCUAAGGUCCCAAAGUCAUGGUUAAGUGGGAAACGAUGUGGGAAGGCCCAGACAGCCAGGAUGUUGGCUUAGAAGCAGCCAUCAUUUAAAGAAAGCGUAAUAGCUCACUGGUCGAGUCGGCCUGCGCGGAAGAUGUAACGGGGCUAAACCAUGCACCGAAGCUGCGGCAGCGACACU
rnacentral:rRNA from 1 species